AGAAGCUGUAGAGUCGGGGCGCCAAGCGCCAGAUUCUGCCGCUCGGAAGUUGGGGGCAGUCCCCAGUCCCGCCUCAGGCCCCCGCGCUCACAGGGCGCUCCGCCGAGGGCGCGGGCCAGGCGCGCGGUGUCACCUCCACGAAGUCAUUUACUUGCCCUGAAGGAGCUGGCCCUCGACCCCUUGGAGGAUGGAGAUUCCUCCCAUUCCCUCCUCCGCCUCCCCCAGGUCGGCGAAGAGACGUGGAAUUGAGCUGGACCGAUGAUUCCGCGAGCUCUGUAAUUAUGCACACACUGAAAUCUUCACCGUUGACUUAAGUUACUUGGCGCUGCGAGGGCUGGGGCCCUGCAUAUUGAUUAAAUGCAGCCUCUAUUUACCUAAACAAUAAAUGUAGAGAUUAGCAACGUUCACUUGAUCACAAUAAUGGGAUUGACAAUUAAGGGGCAAUGCAUCCCAGAUGUAGCGGAACCUAUGGGCUGCGUGCAGCAGGCAGAGGGCUUCUCAGAGAGGGGCGCUGGGCAGUUGCGGCGGCGGAGGUAGUGCAGAGCAGGAAGCAGCGCGGAAGCACAGCGGGAGGCGGAGGGGGACGCCCAGCCUCGUCAAGGUCUUCGGCCACCCCGCCCGGGAGGCUCGAAACUGGCUUUGGGGUACCUGAAUGCCUCGACUCCCAGGGAGACAUCGGGAGCUCGGAGCCACUCUCCCUGUGGCGAUGGCACCUGCCUCAAGGCCGUCUCGCUUGCUGAUGCCUGGCCGGGAAGGAGGAUGGACGCCGCUGGCAUGUGCCCUGGCUCUGGAAAAACUGGCAGGAAUUUCCUUGUCGUGAGAAGAUGGACGAGUGUGUCUGCAGCCGAGGAGACAACUACAAACAGACUUUGGGCAGGGAAGGCGGGCGGGCGGGGGUGGGGGUGGGGGCGGGGGCCUGCUUUGAUCGCUCCAGCUCUGUUGUAAUUUUGUCUUCGCCAGAUAGAUUAGCUGGAACCGCCAGCCCUAGCUUGGAGUUCCGUUCCACGGAGUACCCUCCCUCCCCACCCCCAGCGUCAUCUCGCGCCUGGAGCCGGGUCGCCGCUCCUUCCGAAGUCUCGCUGGAAACUUCAAGGGCUGAUGGUUCUGUGUUCUUGACGUAAUUAGGAGGCCACGCAGCUCUCCAACACUCCGUUAAACAAAUAUACUCCUGCAGGCUCAGAUUUGAAGAGGGAAGGUUCCAGCCAAGUCCACCUUAAGCCUGAGUUUGGGCGACUACAGAAUCCAGGAAGAAAAUCUAGAUGGCAUGGUCGCUCCGGUCUCAGUUCUACAGGGGAGGGAAGAAAGGGGGUGUUAGUGGGGAUAUUUGCUGUUCAUUUUUCCCGCAAUCUCCCUUCCAAAUCAGUCACUGAUUAAUGAGCAAAGCCCAUGCCACAAGUUAUAGAUUACUGUGGACUGAGGAUCAUUUUGUUAAUAUCAGGCAAGAAACUUGCCUUACUUGCAUCCCUGUGUCUGUAUUUACAGUAACAACUUCCUUAGUCACAAAC
rnacentral:lncRNA from 1 species